rnacentral:rRNA from 1 species
ACGUGUCGGAUACUGGGCGUAAGAGCUCGUAGGUGGUUUGUCGCGUCGUCUGUGAAUUCCGGGGCUUAACUCCGGGCGUGCAGACGAUACGGGCAUAACUUGAGUACUGUAGGGGAGACUGGAAUUCCUGGUGUAGCGGUGAAAUGCGCAGAUAUCAGGAGGAACACCGGUGGCGAAGGCGGGUCUCUGGGCAGUAACUGACGCUGAGGAGCGAAAGCAUGGGGAGCGAACAGGAUUAGAUACCCUGGUAGUCCAUGCCGUAAACGGUGGGCGCUAGGUGUGGGUUUCCUUCCACGGGAUCCGUGCCGUAGCUAACGCAUUAAGCGCCCCGCCUGGGGAGUACGGCCGCAAGGCUAAAACUCAAAGGAAUUGACGGGGGCCCGCACAAGCGGCGGAGCAUGUGGAUUAAUUCGAUGCAACGCGAAGAACCUUACCUGGGCUUGACAUAUACAGGAUCGCGCCAGAGAUGGUGUUUCCCUUGUGGCUUGUAUACAGGUGGUGCAUGGUUGUCGUCAGCUCGUGUCGUGAGAUGUUGGGUUAAGUCCCGCAACGAGCGCAACCCUUGUCUUAUGUUGCCAGCACGUUGUGGUGGGGACUCGUAAGAAACUGCCGGGGUUAACUCGGAGGAAGGUGGGGAUGACGUCAAAUCAUCAUGCCCCUUAUGUCCAGGGCUUCACACAUGCUACAAUGGUCGGUACAGUGGGUUGCCAGUCCGUGAGGGCGAGCUAAUCCCGCAAAGCCGGUCUCAGUUCGGAUCGGGGUCUGCAACUCGACCCCGUGAAGUCGGAGUCGCUAGUAAUCGCAGAUCAGCAACGCUGCGGUGAUACUCCCCCCGGGGCCCU